CAAGACCUGCGCUUUUGGAGCGGCCGAUGCCUGAUUAGCUUGUUGGUAGGGUAAAAGCUUACCAAGGCUUCGAUCAGUAGCUGGUCUGAGAGGACGGCCAGCCACACUGGGACUGAGACACGGCCCAGACUCCUACGGGAGGCAGCAGUGGGGAAUUUUGGACAAUGGGGGCAACCCUGAUCCAGCCAUGCCGCGUGAGUGAAGAAGGCCUUCGGGUUGUAAAGCUCUUUCAGCCGGAACGAAACGGUUACGGUUAAUACCCGUGAUUACUGACGGUACCGGAAGAAGAAGCACCGGCUAACUACGUGCCAGCAGCCGCGGUAAUACGUAGGGUGCGAGCGUUAAUCGGAAUUACUGGGCGUAAAGCGUGCGCAGGUGGUUUUGUAAGUCAGAUGUGAAAGCCCCGGGCUCAACCUGGGAACU
rnacentral:rRNA from 1 species